rnacentral:rRNA from 1 species
GCAUAUCAAUAAGCGGAGGAAAAGAAACUAACUAGGAUUCCCUUAGUAACGGCGAGUGAACCGGGAUGAGCUCAAAUUUAAAAUCUGGCGUCUUUCAGGCGUCCGAGUUGUAAUCUAUAGAGGCGUUUUCCGCGCCGGACCGCGUCCAAGUCUCUUGGAAUAGAGUAUCAAAGAGGGUGACAAUCCCGUACUUGACGCGACAACCGGUGCUCUGUGAUACGUUCUCAAUGAGUCGAGUUGUUUGGGAAUGCAGCUCUAAAUGGGUGGUAAAUUCCAUCUAAGGCUAAAUAUUGGCGAGAGACCGAUAGCGAACAAGUACCGUGAGGGAAAGAUGAAAAGCACUUUGGAAAGAGAGUUAAACAGCACGUGAAAUUGUUAAAAGGGAAACGAUUGAAGUCAGUCGUGUGAAAGGUAUUCAGCCGUCUCUGGCGGUGUAUUUGCCUUUCACGGGUCAACAUCAGUUUGAUCCGGUAGAAAAAGGCGGGAGGAAGGUGGCACCCUCGGGUGUGUUAUAGCCUCCUGUCAUAUGUGCCGGACCAGACUGAGGAACGCAGCUUGCCGCAAGGCCGGGGUUCGCCCACGUACAAGCUUAGGAUGUUGAC